rnacentral:tRNA from 1 species
GCUCUGAUAGUGAAAUGGCCAUCACGUGGGUCUUUGAAACCCGAGUUCAGGGUUCGAUCCCCUGUCGGAGCAGCA